rnacentral:rRNA from 1 species
GACACGGUCCAAACUCCUACGGGAGGCAGCAGUGAGGAAUAUUGGUCAAUGGACGUAAGUCUGAACCAGCCAAGUCGCGUGAGGGAAGACUGCCCUAUGGGUUGUAAACCUCUUUUAUAAGGGAAGAAUAAGUUCUACGUGUAGAAUGAUGCCUGUACCUUAUGAAUAAGCAUCGGCUAACUCCGUGCCAGCAGCCGCGGUAAUACGGAGGAUGCGAGCGUUAUCCGGAUUUAUUGGGUUUAAAGGGUGCGUAGGCGGUUUAUUAAGUUAGUGGUUAAAUAUUUGAGCUAAACUCAAUUGUGCCAUUAAUACUGGUAAACUGGAGUACAGACGAGGUAGGCGGAAUAAGUUAAGUAGCGGUGAAAUGCAUAGAUAUAACUUAGAACUCCGAUAGCGAAGGCAGCUUACCAGACUGUAACUGACGCUGAUGCACGAGAGCGUGGGUAGCGAACAGGAUUAGAUACCCUGGUAGUCCACGCCGUAAACGAUGCUCACUGGUUCUGUGCGAUAUAUUGUACGGGAUUAAGCGAAAGUAUUAAGUGAGCCACCUGGGGAGUACGUCGGCAACGAUGAAACUCAAAGGAAUUGACGGGGGCCCGCACAAGCGGAGGAACAUGUGGUUUAAUUCGAUGAUACGCGAGGAACCUUACCCGGGCUUGAAAGUUAGCGACGAUUCUUGAAAGAGGAUUUCCCUUCGGGGCGCGAAACUAGGUGCUGCAUGGUUGUCGUCAGCUCGUGCCGUGAGGUGUCGGGUUAAGUCCCAUAACGAGCGCAACCCUUACCGUUAGUUGCUAGCAUGUAAUGAUGAGCACUCUAACGGGACUGCCACCGUAAGGUGAGAGGAAGGCGGGGAUGACGUCAAAUCAGCACGGCCCUUACACCCAGGGCUACACACGUGUUACAAUGGCCGGUACAGAGGGCCGCUACCAGGUGACUGGAUGCCAAUCUCAAAAGCCGGUCGUAGUUCGGAUUGGAGUCUGUAACCCGACUCCAUGAAGUUGGAUUCGCUAGUAAUCGCGCAUCAGCCAUGGCGCGGUGAAUACGUUCCCGGGCC